GUUUUUGAGAAUGUUUUUGUUUAUUUUUUAUGGGAAGAUAUUUAUUUUUUUAUUAUAGGUUUAAGGCGAUCGAAAUGUUUAUUUUUAUAAAUUAUAAAAAGAGUGUUUUAAAUUUGUUUUAUGUAAAGGGAUGUUUUAUUUUGUGAGUUGAAUGUAUAUAAUAUAAGGAAGUUAUUGGGAAUUUUUUUGUUUAGUUUUAUAUGAAAAAAAUUCGUUUUUAACGAAGGUUUUUAAGUGGUUAAAAUAUUUAUGUGUAGAUUUUAUAAAUAGAGUGUUUUUAAAUUGUUUUAUGAAAAGAAAGGUUUAAUUUUGUUAG
rnacentral:misc_RNA from 1 species